GGAAUCUUGGACAAUGGGCGCAAGCCUGAUCCAGCCAUGCCGCGUGAGUGAAGAAGGCCUUAGGGUUGUAAAACUCUUUCGCCGGAGCAGCUACUGACGGUAUCCGGAGAAGAAGCCCCGGCUAAAUUCGUGCCAGCAGCCGCGGUAAUACGAAGGGGGCUAGCGUUGUUCGGAAUUACUGGAGGUAAAGCGAACGUAGGCGGAUUUGUAAGUAGGGGGUGAAAUCCCCAGGCUCAACCUGGGAACUGCCUUCUAGACUGCAAGUCUGGAGAUCAGGAGAGGCGAGUGGAAUACCGAGUGUAGAGGUGAAAUUCGUAGAUAUUCGGUGGAACACCAGUGGCGAAGGCGACUCGCUGGACUGAUACUGACGCUGAGGUGCGAAAGCGUGGGGAGCAAAC
rnacentral:rRNA from 1 species